GUGCUUACUUUGGCAGUACAUAUACUAAAAUUGGAACAGUAGAGGUUACCAUGGCCCCUGCACAAGGAUAACACACAAAUUCAUGAAGCAUUCCAUAUUUUU